GCUCAGUUAACAGUAAAUUGAGGCAAAGCCUCCAGUACAUGGACAAGCCACUUUCAGUACUUCCUCCGUCAAUAUCCCAAUCCCAUGCAUCAGAUAAUAACAACAUGGCAUGCAGUAAAUAACAACAGUAAAACAUGCAUUUAGGUCAAUUUAACCCUAGGGGUAUUUCGGUAAUUUAUCUACUAUGGGUAAAACUGUAAAUUU
rnacentral:lncRNA from 1 species